rnacentral:rRNA from 1 species
CGGACGAGAAGCUUNGCNUUCUCUGNAUGNUUAGCGGCGGACGGGNUGAAGNUAACACGNUGGCAUAACCUUACCUAUAAGACAUGGGAUAACUUCGGGAAACCGGAGCUAAUACCGGAUAAUAUUUUGAACCGCAUGGUUCAAAAGUGAAAGACGGUCUUGCUGUCACUUAUAGAUGGAUCCGCGCUGCAUUAGCUAGUUGGUAAGGUAACGGCUUACCAAGGCAACGAUGCAUAGCCGACCUGAGAGGGUGAUCGGCCACACUGGAACUGAGACACGGUCCAGACUCCUACGGGAGGCAGCAGUAGGGAAUCUUCCGCAAUGGGCGAAAGCCUGACGGAGCAACGCCGCGUGAGUGAUGAAGGUCUUCGGAUCGUAAAACUCUGUUAUUAGGGAAGAACAUAUGUGUAAGUAACUGUGCACAUCUUGACGGUACCUAAUCANAAAGCCACGGCUAACU